rnacentral:lncRNA from 1 species
AUAAAAGUAGUAAUCCUGAUAGUGAUGGUUAUAUUCAAAAUCUAAGGGGAUUGUGGGGGAUGAUGGAAGCCAACACACACACACACACACACACACACACACACACACACACACAGGAGAAUAAGGAAGAAAGCAGAAUUUGGGAAUCCAGGAACUUCCUCAGUGUGAGAGGAAUGAAGAAGAGGAAAUGUCCAUCUUUUUUUAAACAUGAUCUAGGAAGUAGGAAGAAGUUAAUAGAAUGUCUGAAGUGUGUGCAGCUGCAUUGGGGCCUGGAGACAAUGAGCACUCUGCAGAGAAUAUUCAGCCUGCAUCUCACGCUGGAGGAAAGAAAGAAAACAACUUGCUUUGACACCACAGUUGAUAGCAUCAGUGCAGCUCAAGUACAGACCCUUUCAUUUGCAGAAAUCAGAUCUCAGAGGAGGUUGAGAAGAUUCUUCCUUGAAAUUCUUGGUCUUGCUAGCAAGCAUAGCUAAACAGAGGCACCAAGGAGAUCAUUCCAAGACUAAAGACAGCAUCAGUGUGAC